GGUUUUAUAGUCUAAUAAAAAUAUUAAAUUGCAAAUUUAAUGAUGAAAUUUAGAGUUUUUAAAACUU
rnacentral:tRNA from 1 species